AUUGAACGCUGGCGGCAUGCUUUACACAUGCAAGUCGAACGGUAACAGGGAGCUUGCUCCGCUGACGAGUGGCGAACGGGUGAGUAAUGCAUCGGAACGUACCCAGUCGUGGGGGAUAAC
rnacentral:rRNA from 1 species